rnacentral:rRNA from 1 species
GGUUGCGAUCAUACCAGCACUAAUGCACCGGAUCCCAUCAGAACUCCGCAGUUAAGCGUGCUUGGGCGAGAGCAGUACUAGGAUGGGUGACCCCCUGGGAAGUCCUCGUGUUGCAACCCC